UUCUCCUGAUUGAAAUCUCGAAAGAAAAGCUAUAUGUCCAACUUAGCCUCCGCCUAGAGAGAGGAAGCUUCCACCUUUCAAAUCAAACUUGGAGAAAUCAAGGUGCCCUAUUGCUUCAUUUCAUUUGGAUCGUCAAGUAUCGAAUAAGUUAUUGUUUCCUUGGAAUUUAAGCCACAGCCUUAUUAAAGGAAGCAUAAUUCACGAGACAUAUAAAGCUGGCUUUUGGGAAUUGAUUAAAUCUGGGUAAUUGUUGAUAUCCACUUUUACUCAUGAUAUGAAUACUACAACACGACAUAUCUGCUUAUAAUUUUC